rnacentral:rRNA from 1 species
UUGAUCCUGGCUCAGGACGAACGCUGGCUGCGUGCUUAACACAUGCAAGUCGAACGCUGAAGCCUGGUGCUCGCACCGGGUGGAUGAGUGGCGAACGGGUGAGUAACACGUGAGUAACCUGCCCCUGACUUCGGGAUAAGCCCGGGAAACUGGGUCUAAUACCGGAUACGACUGCCGGACGCAUGUCUGGUGGUGGAAAGUUUUUUCGGUUGGGGAUGGGCUCGCGGCCUAUCAGUUUGUUGGUGAGGUAAUGGCUCACCAAGACGACGACGGGUAGCCGGCCUGAGAGGGCGACCGGCCACACUGGGA